CGCUAGCUUGAUUAAAUUACGGUAGCAGGUGCCAAUAUGCAUAAAAACACACCUACAGAGGUCACACAUGGGACGGUUUAGUAAGUAUGAAUUGUUUUAGUUGCGUUGUAAAACUUAUUUACAAACGCGAAAAGAAUAAGUCUAUAAUGUUUUGAGCGGAAACACUAUAGACACGUUUACUUCCGGUUCAAGGCACGAGACAGGAAGUACAUUGUCAACCUGCAGUGACCGUACUCGUGCAAAAGAUGGCGCUAUAGCACAAACAAUAACACACCUUUUCGGUGUCUUGGUUCUGGGUAUUGUGAAAACUGUCUGUUGAAUACAAAACAUUGCGAAGAAAUACCCAUAAAUUAGCCGCACCGUUUUAUAACCCGCAGGUUUAAAGCGUGGGGGUGGUGGGGAAAUCACCCAGAAUGAGUUUGAAGCCCACUUGAGGCUCCCUUCGUACCAGUUGAGACUCACUGCUGUCUACUAGGAGUCCAUAGCAACAUCCGAUGUAGUGGUUUGGCCUCAAACAUGGCAGAAAUGUGCUGCUUAGCCCACAAACUGAAUAAUACUGCCCCCAAUUGUCUAAGCAAAGCAAGAAGCAUUGAUUCAAAUAUCUAGCAAACACAAAAUUCCACACUUUUUAUGUUAUGUUUACUUUUUCCGAACUGUACCUCUCGGGGAAAAAAAAAAAAAAAAUUGUCUGUGAAUAAGGAAUUUUAUAACACACCGCAAGUUUGACUCUCUAUCUAAAUCUUUGUUGGUGAAUGUUUUAGUUGUUUUUUUCUUCUUUUCGAAAAACCCACGCAGAGCUGCAAAAACACACUGACUCUUGAAUAUGGUGUCAAAAAAAAAAAAAAGUAGAAUGUAGAAUUAUCUGUGCGGACGUGAGGCGACGUCAUAAGUUGUCUCACCACCACGAACACACCUUUUUUGUUGUUGUUGUUGUCGCCGCUGUUGUUGUGUGUUGUACCGUACGUGUUACGAUUACCUCUCUGAAUCAAAGGCUGACUCAAAAUUGUCCCGGUGAACACACACACUCGCAGUGCUAACCUAGUCAAAAGGUAACCUCACACGAUGCCAGCAUCCUAGUUGUCCUCUGGUGAUGGGCUGCUCACAACCAGGUGUGCGUUAGUCUGCUCGUGGGCCUCUCUUUUUUCUGUUUUCCACUUUUGCAAAGGACUGUUCGUCUGCCGUCUUUUUCGGGGCUCCCUAGGCUCCCUAAUAUAGUGCAUCUAAAAAGUAUUUAUAGUGCUUCCCUUUUUGCACAUUUUUUGUUACAGGCUUAUUCCAAAAUGUAAUCAAUUCAUUUGAAAAACAUUUGUUGCACAGGUGGCAUCCUAAGACAGUUCCACGCUGGAAAUCACUGAAAGCGGCCCAUUCUUUUACAAAUGUUUGUAGAAACAGUCUCCAUGCCUAAGUGUUUGACUUUUAGUUUUACAAACCCCGUUUCCAUAUGAGUUGGGAAAUUGUGUUUGAUGUAAAUAUAAACGGAAUACAAUGAUUUGCAAAUCCUUUUCAACCGAUAUUCAGUUGAAUAUGCUACAAAGACAACAUAUUUGAUGUUCAAAUUGAUAAACAUAUUUUUUUUUGCAAAUAAUCAUUAACUUUAGAAUUUGAUGCCAGCAACACGUGACAAAAAGGUUGGGAAAGGUGGCAAUAAAUACUGCUUAAGUUGAAAAAUGCUCAUCAAACACUUAUUUGGAGCAUCCCUGUCAGGUUCAAACACUGAUGACAUCUAUUAAACAAGACAAAAGGCAAAGAAUCAAACAGACAGAAUUAAACUUGGACUCGGAUCUGAGGAGAGACAUGGCCACUGUACACUUCGUACAGUCCUGCACCACGCUCUGACAAAAAAGGUUUACGUCUCCUUUUUUUAUUUAGAUAUUCAAUGUUUACGCAACAACACAUGUCAGAACAGAAAUGGGGAGUAUGUAAACAGUCUUUGUUUUCGGUCACAUUGAAGAUAAAAGAAGAUGAUGCCUCGGGCUUGGGCUUGUCCUGGAUUUAGCUUCGGCAGGUGUUUGAGGACAAUAGAUAACCCCUCCCGUCGCAUUCCAACGUAGACAGCGGAAUCUUGCAAGACUUUGUUUGGUCGAACAAGAACAGCUCUCAUCCGUUCAAAGGAAACUCAGAGGGCAGAACGUUUUUUUGAUAAUUUACACAAUUUUUCUGACAAUCCCACAGGUGUGCAGGCUAAUUGGGAACAGGUGGGCGCCAUGAUUGGGUAUAAAAACAGCUUCCCAAAAAACGCUCAGUCUUUCACAAGAAAGGAUGGGGCGAGGUACACCCCUUUGUCCACAACUGCGUGAGCAAAUAGUCAAACAGUUUAAGAACAACGUUUCUCAAAGUGCAAUUGCAAGAAAUUUAGGGAUUUCAACAUCUACGCUCCAUAAUAUCAUCAAAAAGUUCAGAGAAUCUGGAGAUAUCACUCCACGUAAGCGGCAUGGCCGGAAACCAACAUUGAAUGACCGUGACCUUCAAUCCCUCAGACGGCACUGUAUCAAAAAACAACAUCAAUCUCUAAAGGAUAUCACCACAUGGGCUCAGGAACACUUCAGAAAACCACUGUCACUAAAUACAGUUUGUCGCUACAUCUGUAAGUGCAAGUUAAAGCUCUACUAUGAAAAGCGAAAGCCAUUUAUCAACAACAUCCAGAAACGCUGCUGGCUUCUCUGGGCCCGAGAUCAUCUAAGAUGGACUGAUACAAAGUGGAAAAGUGGUCUGAUGAGUCCACAUUUCAAAUAGUUUUUUGGAAAUAUUCGACAUCGUGUCAUCCGGAUCAAAGGGGAAGCGAGCCAUCCAGACUGUUAUCGACGCAAAGUUUAAAAGCCAGCAUCUGUGAUGGUAUGGGGGUGCAUUAGUGCCCAAGGCAUGGGUAACUUACACAUAUGUGAAGGCACCAUUAAUGCUGAAAGGUACAUACAGGUUUUGGAACAACAUAUGCUGCCAUCUAAGCGCCGUCUUUUUCAUAGACGCCCCUGCUUAUUUCAGCAAGACAAUGCCAAGCCACAUUCAGCACGUGUUACAACAGCGUGACUUCGAAAAAAAAGAGUGCGGGUACUUUCCUGGCCCGCCUGCAGUCCAGACCUGUCCCCCAUCAAAAAUGUGUGGCGCAUUAUGAAGCGUAAAACACGACAGCGGAGACCCCGGACUGUUGAACGACUGAAGCUCUACAUAAAACAAGAAUGGGAAAGAAUUCCACUUUCAAAGCUUCAACAAUUAGUUUCCUCAGUUCCCAAACGUUUAUUGAGGGUUGUUAAAAGAAAAGGUGAUGUAACACAGUGGUGAACAUGCCCUUUCCCAACUACUUUGGCACGUGUUGCAGCCAUGAAAUUCUAAGUUAAUUAUUAUUUGCCAAAAAAAAAGUAAAGUUUAUGAGUUUGAACAUCAAAUAUCUUGUCUUUGUAGCAUUUUUAAUAGAAUAUGGGUUGAAAAGGAUUUGCUAAUCAUUUUAUUCCGUUUAUAUUUACAUUUAACACAAUUUCCCAACUCAUAUGGAAACGGGGUUUGUAUUACAUUUGCAAAAAUUUCCAAAUGAACUUUUUCACUGUUUCUACUGGGUGUUGUCGCUAGUAUUUUAAGACAAAAAUGUAUUCAUUCCAUUUUGAUUUAAGGCUGUAUUAUAACACAAUGUGGAAGAAGUGAAGCCAUUGUCAAUACUUUCAGGUUUUCUCGCCAAGGUGCUGCUCACUUUGGUGUUUUUUAAGGUUUUUGGGGUGUUGCUAGACUCUUAUCUAACAAAUAUCACACUCACACGCAUCCCCGAGGAUGUUUUUAGCGUGUUAGUUGUAUCACGAUAGUGGUCGGUUUUUAUUUUUUGUCCGGUUUCCUCGCUGUUCUGAUGAUUCCCGUACUCGGUGGUCCCAUUGUGGGCUUGAACCACAUGUUAACUUUGCAAUCCAAAUGGCAGACUAGUGAAGUACAGACCUCCGCCAAGGCUGAAAACAAUAAUCCUCAAUUUGGAAUAGCACCAGAUCGGGUCUGUUUUUGUCCGGAUGUUGUUUUUUUCCGCUCGUUAUUUACAAAGAAAGGUUGCUAAAUGCGUUAUAUACUGUAUCUGUAAAAGUUUUACUUGGUUCUUUCUUUGACAGAGUGUAAAUAUUACAAGAAUGAAUGCAUCAUUUGACGAGCAUAAAGUGUACUAGGCAUUAGGAAAAUAAAGAUAUUAGAAAAUAAGGUUCUUACUUUCCUAGAGUUAGAUCCGAAAUUAUUAGAUUACAGUCCAAAUUAUUUAAUGGUAAAAUAUGUUUGUGAAGGAGUAGUACACAAAUAACAUUUACAAAAGUAAAGUCCAUUGGAAUUUUUGCGCACUCCAAAAAAAAAGUCUUUAGAUUUGUGGUAAAAAAAAAGAAAUACUCGCAGAAUUUUAAUAUACAAAUAAUUAGCAGCGCACUAGCCAGACAUUUACUGUUAAAAUAAUAGUGUGUUUUUCUUUAAUUUACAGUAACCGCUUUAAAAAAGUCAAAAUUUUACAGGAAAAAAAAAAUUGCAGCUUUCUCGCCGGAAUUUUACCGCGAAAAUAACAAUAGCACCGUUUUUCUGUGUGCUGUAAUUUGGUGUAAAAACUAUUGUAAAUUUUAGGAUUAAAUUCUGGCGAGUGAGCUAUGCUGAAAUAUAUAUAUAUAAUUUUUUUUUACAGUGUGCAAUAAAGUAUUAUGACAAAAAAGUAUUUUUUUUUAUUGUAAUAAAGUUGUAAUAUAUCAAGCAAAAAGUUCUACUAGAAAAAAAAAAUCUAGAUUUUACAGUACAACUUUUUGCUGGAUAAAUUACAACUAUUAUAAUAAAAAUGACAUAUUUUUCUCAUAAUUAUACUUUAUUGUAUUUACACUGUAAAGAAAUUUGAAAAGCUGUAAUAAUAAUAAUAAAAUAAAGUGGUAACAUGGAGAAAAAAAGCUACAUUCUUACCAGAAUGAAAAAUGGAACUUUAUUAUUGUAACAGUUAUUUUUAAUAUACAUAUUUGUUUCCAUUAAGGUCCUAAAACAGUACACCUUCCCUAGUCAAGGAGUAACUUUUUUUUUGGUUUUGUUUUAAUCUUGCUAACUAAGAAAUAACAGAUUGGCGGAGGUAAUCAAGGCAAAUAAAAGAAGGCUAGUAAAUAUUUGAUAUGUAAUAUAAAACAUGGAAUAUUGAGCAACGUGGAUCCUACAGUUUUGGCCGAUCAGACGGAAAUGACGGCACGUUUUUGUCCAUCCAGUAUCUCCGACACCUCAUUCAGCACUAAAAGUACACGUCUCACCAUUUGGGAGAUACUUCUAUUAUUUGUGUGCGUGUCUAAUAGGUGAAACCCUAUCGAUGUCCCACGGUCCAAAAAGGUCUCCGAUGACUGUGCGCUGGACUAAACAUUCGAUUAUUGUUUUGACACUCGUGGUGGACAAAUACACGCCUCUCUGGUUCCAUUUUUUUGAGUUGGGAGUGUGAACUGUAUUGCUGAGCAACUUGGAUCUGAGCAAUAAAAUAAAUUUGCAUCA